GAUUGAGACGUACUGCUGGGAUGGUCUCUGAAGAGAUUGUUCACUACUUAACUAAGUAUUAUACGCAAGUCGAUUUAAUAAACUCUUGGCUCAAGCAGAGAUGAGAAGGAACUUUCUCAGUUCCCUGGCUUAGGUGAGAAGUUACGUUCCUAACUUCAGUAAUCCUAGGCUGUGCUCUGUACCCAUCUUUCAACUUCUCCCCCCCCCCCCUUUUUUUUUAUUCCAGCUUGAUCCAUUUGAAUGAAAGUAUUUAAGACCUAGAGACUGAGUAAUACAGACAACCAGGAGAAAGAUCUUCCUCACUGACUAGUGGUCUUUGGAACAUACUUCACACAUUCAGCUUCUCAGAGAAAACCAUCAAUAUUUGCCAUAGUGAAGAAAAAGAAGGUCAGAGAAGCAUUUUCCAAGCUUUUGGAUAUUUAUCAUCAGAAGAGUUAAGCAGAGUCAAGUACAUCUGGCAGGCCCUAGUGAAAUAUAUGGCUACUAACUCAUAUAUUUUAUGAUUAAAAUUGUUUUAUGAUUUGUAAACACUUGCAAAGUCACAGAUAAUAAAUUUAUUUACACAUUGAAUAAAUCAUUUUCAUUUAAGUCACCCUGUUCCUUUAUGAUACUUACUAAACUUUGUUAUAACAAAAAUAUUUGUUAUUUGUUUACAAUCCUUGUUCCUAUACUCGACUGUAAGGUCCAUGAAGACAGGAGUGUUUUUUGUUCACUGCUGUAAACCUAGGGAUUUAAUUUACUGCUAUAAACCCAAUACUUAGUAAAUACAUGAAAUUACUUUAAGACUUUGACAUCUAAGUAUGAUAACUACAUUGGAUUUUCAAAGUAAAGAACUCAUUUCUGGAAA